rnacentral:tmRNA from 1 species
GGGGAUGCAAAGGUUUCGACGGGGUUAUGAGGUUAUAGAUAGCAGGCCAGGUUGACCGCUGUGAGAGGUUAACACAUCGUUUAGAUGGAAACAGAAAUUACGCUUUAGCUGCUUAAUAGUCAGCUCACCUUCAAACUUUCUUUUCUGUAGGAGAGUUUAAUAUAGGUGUUACUAAUAUACAGAUUACCUUUAGUGAUUUCUCUAAGCUUAAAGGGACAUAUGAGAGGAUAGUUUCAGUCAGCCCUGUCUGUGGGAGUGACUGUAGCGAAAUUUAAUAACAGACUAAGCUUGUAGAGGUUUAUGGCGCUGGUAAUUUCGGACACGGGUUCGAUUCCCGUCAUCUCCACCA